rnacentral:rRNA from 1 species
AGAGUUUGAUCAUGGCUCAGAACGAACGCUGGCGGCAGGCUUCAUACAUGCAAGUCGAGCGAUUAAAGCCCCUUCGGGGGUGUAUAAAGCGGCGAACGGGUGAGUAACAGGUGGAUAAUCUGCCUCCUGGCGGGGGAUAACGGCUGGAAACGGCCGCUAAUACCGCAUGUGAUUGCCGGUUUACGAACCGGCAAUGAAAGGCGCUUCACGGCGUCGCCAGGAGAUGAGUCCGCCCCCCAUUAGCUAGUUGGCGGGAUAAUAGCCCACCAAGGCUUCGAUGGGUAGCCGAGCUGAGAGGUUGAUCGGCCACACUGGAACUGAGACACGGUCCAGACACCUACGGGUGGCAGCAGUAGGGAAUAUUGCGCAAUGGGCGAAAGCCUGACGCAGCCAUGCCGCGUGAGUGACGAAGGCCUUCGGGUCGUAAAGCUCUUUUCUGAGGGAAGAACAUCCAUGGGAGGAAAUGCCCUUGGCUUGACGGUACCUCAGGAAUAAGGAACGGCUAACUCCGUGCCAGCAGCCGCGGUAAUACGGAGGUUCCUAGCGUUGUUCGGAAUUACUGGGCGUAAAGGGAGCGCAGGCGGAUCGGUCAGUGGAAAGUGGAAUCCCGGGGCUCAACCUCGGAAGUGCUUUCCAUACUGCCGGUCUUGAGUACGUGAGAGGAAGGCGGAAUUCAGGGUGUAGCGGUGAAAUGCUUAGAUAUCCUGAGGAACACCAGUGGCGAAAGCGGCCUUCUGGCACUGUACUGACGCUGAGGCUCGAAAGCGUGGGGAGCGAACGGGAUUAGAUACCCCGGUAGUCCACGCCGUAAACGUUGUGCACUAGGUGCGGGAGGUAUCGACCCCUUCCGUGCCGCAGUUAACGCAUUAAGUGCACCGCCUGGGGAGUACGCGCGCAAGCGUGAAACUCAAAGGAAUUGACGGGGGCCCGCACAAGCGGUGGAGCAUGUGGUUUAAUUCGAGGCAACGCGAAGAACCUUACCCAGACUUGACAUCCCGUGAUCGCCAUGGAAACAUGGUUUUCCCUUCGGGGACGCGGUGACAGGUGUUGCAUGGCUGUCGUC